CACGUAGGGCGCAAGCGUUGUCCGGAAUUAUUGGGCGUAAAGAGCUCGUAGGCGGUCUGUUGCGUCCGCUGUGAAAACUCGGGGCUUAACCCCGAGCCUGCAGUGGAUACGGGCAGACUAGAGGUAGGUAGGGGAGAAUGGAAUUCCCGGUGUAGCGGUGAAAUGCGCAGAUAUCAGGAGGAACACCGGUGGCGAAGGCGGGUCUCUGGGCCGAAACUGACGCUGAGGAGCGAAAGUGUGGGGAGCGAACAGG
rnacentral:rRNA from 1 species